rnacentral:lncRNA from 1 species
CUGCAAAGCCUGAGGAUGAAAACCUGCGGACCUGAAUGCUAGCUGCACCAUCCUGCUGGGACAGGGCAUUAAGCCAGCGGGUUGGUGUGGUCAGGGAGUGCCUUCUCUUAGGAACUAGGUUUUUAUGGGUCAUGCAAAAUGUUAUCAGUCAAAAUCAGUGCCAACUUCCCAUGCAAAAGCAUUUUCUUACUGUCAGCAAAUUACAGAUGGGGAAGAACUGUUUUUAACACUACGCAAUGUUUUAGUAGAUUAUUUGAUAAAUAAGUAAAAACAAUGGAAAGCAGGUGAGCCUGUGGCCGAUCACUUGAACAGUUUCAUUGGUGAGGGUGUUCUCUUGCUUGCUUGGUAGGAACCUUCAGGCCACGGUGACAGGUGAAAGGGGACCAAAAUGGAGAGCAACUCAGUGCUCUGUUACCUUUGAGUCAGUGUCAAUGAACUACAGACCUGAUUCUACAUCUUUGACGUCACCAGUAUCUCCAGGAUCUCACUUCUGUGUAACUGCAGAGACACGUUGCCGCAGGUAACAUGUGCCAUGUGCUGCCCACAGAGAUCUCAGCAGCUGACGAGGAGUCAACCGACAAACGACGUCAUCAUGGGUUUGAUGCAGACCGAGAUGCCAAGAAAUUACACAGUGCCUGCAAAGGAGCGGGAACUGAUGAAAAAAAAAUUAUUGAAGUCUUGUCAAGUCGAACAUCAGAGCAGAGACAACAAAUUAAACAGAAGUACAAAGCUCUCUAUGGCAAGGUAUUUCAGAAUAAAUGGCCUCUCUCUUUUGAACAGCAUGCAUGCUGGAAAUGGAGCUCACAUACCUCUGCUGUUGAGAUACCAAGGGCCCAGUAGAUUGAAGGUUUCUGAUUCAGCAAUUUUUUCAGCUCCCAAAAUACUGUUGUAUUAAUAACAUUAGGAUUCGGAAUAUUUUUUUUUUAAUUCAGCCUUAACCAGAUCAGAGCAU